AUUGAACGCUGGCGGCAUGCUUUACACAUGCAAGUCGAACGGUGACAGGUUAAGCUGACGAGUGGCGAACGGGUGAGUAAUGCAUCGGAACGUGCCCGGUCGUGGGGGAUAACGCAGAGAAAGCUGCGCUAAUACCGCAUACGAUCUGAGGAUGAAAGCGGGGGACCGUAAGGCCUCGCGCGAUCGGAGCGGCCGAUGUCAGAUUAGGUAGUUGGUGGGGUAAAGGCUCACCAAGCCGACGAUCUGUAGCUGGUCUGAGAGGACGACCAGCCACACUGGGACUGAGACACGGCCCAGACUCCUACGGGAGGCAGCAGUGGGGAAUUUUGGACAAUGGGCGCAAGCCUGAUCCAGCAAUGCCGCGUGCAGGAAGAAGGCCUUCGGGUUGUAAACUGCUUUUGUACGGAGCGAAAAGGCUCUCUCUAAUACAGGGGGUUCAUGACGGUACCGUAAGAAUAAGCACCGGCUAACUACGUGCCAGCCGCCGCCGUAA
rnacentral:rRNA from 1 species